rnacentral:rRNA from 1 species
CCUACGGGUGGCAGCAGUGAGGAAUAUUGGUCAAUGGGCGCGAGCCUGAACCAGCCAAGUCGCGUGAGGGAAGACGGUCCUAUGGAUUGUAAACCUCUUUUGUCGGGGAGCAAAAGACGCCACGCGUGGCGUUCCGAGCGUACCCGAAGAAAAAGCAUCGGCUAACUCCGUGCCAGCAGCCUCGGUAAUACGGAGGAUGCGAACGUGAUCCGGAUUUAUUGGGUUUAAAGGGGGCGCAGGCGGAAGAUCAAGUCAGCGGUAAAAUUGAGAGGCUCAACCUCUUCGAGCCGUUGAAACUGGUUGUCUUGAGUGAGUGAGAAGUAUGCGGAAUGCGUGGUGUAGCGGUGAAAUGCAUAGAUAUCACGCAGAACUCCGAGUGCGAAGGCAGCAUACCGGCGCUCAACUGACGCUCAUGCACGAAAGUGUGGGUAUCGAACAGGAUUAGAUACCCCUGUAGUC